rnacentral:rRNA from 1 species
GCUUACGGCCAUACCACCUUGGGCACGCCCGAUCUCAUCUGAUCUCAGAAGUUAAGCAGGGUCGGGCCUGGUUAGUACUUGGAUGGGUGACCGCCUGGGAAUACCAGGUGCUGUAAGCA